UAGUCAUAUGCUUGUCUCAAAGAUUAAGCCAUGCAUGUCUAAGCACAAGCCGAUUAAUGGUGAAGCCGCGAAUGGCUCAUUACAACAGCCAUAGUUUCUUAGAUCUUACUUUUCUACUUGGAUAACUGUGGUAAUUCUAGAGCUAAUACACGCAAACAAGCUCAGACCUUACGGAAUGAGCGCAUUUAUUAGAACAAAAACCAAUCGGGCUUCGGUCCGUCAUUUGGUGAAUCUGAAUAACUUUGCUGAUCGCACGGUCUUCGUACCGGCGACAUAUCUUUCAAAUGUCUGCCUUAUCAACUUUCGAUGGUAGUUUAUGCGCCUACCAUGGUUGUAACGGGUAACGGAGAAUAAGGGUUCGACUCUGGAGAGGGAGCCUGAGAAACGGCUACCACAUCCAAGGAAGGCAGCAGGCACGCAAAUUACCCACUCCCGGCACGGGGAGGUAGUGACGAAAAAUAACGAGACGGCUCGCUAUGCGGUCCGUCAUCGGAAUGGGUACAAUUUAAAUCCUUUAACGAGGAUCUAUU
rnacentral:rRNA from 1 species